rnacentral:rRNA from 1 species
UACGGGGGGGGGCAAGCGUUGUUCGGAAUUACUGGGCGUAAAGCGUGCGCAGGCGGUUAUGCAAGACAGAUGUGAAAUCCCCGGGCUCAACCUGGGAAUUGCAUUUGUGACUGCACGGCUAGAGUGUGUCAGAGGGGGGUAGAAUUCCACGUGUGAGCAGUGAAAUGCGUAGAGAUGUGGAGGAAUACCGAUGGCGAAGGCAGCCCCCUGGGAUAACACUGACGCCUGCAUGC